rnacentral:rRNA from 1 species
GAUGAACGCUGGCGGCAUGCCUAACACAUGCAAGUCGAUCGGUAAGGCUCUUCGGAGUACACGAGAGGCGGACGGCUGAGUAACGCGUAGGAACACACCCUGCAGUGAGGGAUAAGACACCGAAAGGUGUUCUAAUACCGCAUACGGUCUUCGGAUUAAAGCAUUUAUGCGCUGAAGGAAUGGCCUGCGUCAUAUUGGAUAGUUGGUGAGGUAAUGGCUCACCAAGUCGAUGAUGUGUAGCUGGUCUGAGAGGAUGAUCAGCCAGACUGGAACUGAGACACGGUCCAGACUCCUACGGGAGGCAGCAGUGAGGAAUAUUUCACAAUGAGCGAAAGCUUGAUGGAGCAAUGCCGCGUGCAGGAUGAAGGCCCUCGGGUUGUAAACUGCUUUUAUAAGAGAAGAUUAUGACGGUAACUUAUGAAUAAGGGACGGCUAACUACGUG